AAUCGAACCCGGAGAUAGCUGGUUCUCCUCGAAAUAGCUUUAGGGCUAGCCUCGCAUUAGUUUACCGGAGGUAGAGCACUGAAUGGUCUAGGGGGCCUCACCGCCUACCGAAACCUAUCAAACUGCGAAUGCCGGAUAAAUGAUGUGCGGGAGUCAGGCCGCGAGAGAUAAGUUCCGCGGUCAAAAGGGGAACACCCCAGAUCGUCUGCUAAGGUCCCCAAGUACGCGUUAAGUGGGAAAGGAUGUUGGAUUGCACAGACAACCAGGAUGUUGGCUUAGAAGCAGCCACACAUUCAAAGAGUGCGUAAUAGCUCACUGGUCGAGUGAUCCAGCGCCGAAAAUGUAACGGGGCUAAAACGCGACACCGAAGCAGCGGGAUGCGUAAGCAUCGGUAGAGGAGCAUUGUGUGAGGGUUGAAGCCAGAGCGGGAGCACUGGUGGACUUCACAGAAGAGAGAAUGCCGGUAUGAGUAGCGAGACCCAUGCGAGAAACAUGGGCGUCGAAGGCCCAAGGUUUCCUGGGGAAGGUUCAUCCACCCAGGGUAAGUCGGGACCUAAGCCGAGGACUGAGGUCGUAGGCGAUGGACAGCAGGUAGAGAUUCCUGCACCACUACCACUUGUUUGACGAAGCAGUGACACAGAAGGAUAGGACGAGCGCGGUGAUGGUCAACCGCGUAGGCGGCACGAGGCCGGGAAGCAGUGAAGUACACUUCCCGCAAAGGCUGAGUGUUGACAGGACCGAAAAGAAGUAGGGAAGCGUCCGAGUUCACGCUGGCGAGAAAAGCUGCUAAGGAGAGUGUGAGUGCCCGUACCGGAAACCGACGCAGGUGGGCGAGGAGAGAAUCCUGAGACGGACGGGAGAACUCUUGUUAAGGAACUCGGCAAAAUGACCCCGUAACUUCGGGAGAAGGGGUGCCUCGAAAGAGGCCGCAGAGAAUAGUCACAAGCGACUGUUUAGCAAAAACACAGGUAUCUGCGAAAGCGAGAGCUGACGUAUAGGUGCUGACGCCUGCCCGGUGCUGGAAGGUUAAGGGGAAGUGUUAGGGGAAACCCGAAGCAGAGAACCGAAGCCCCAGUAAACGGCGGCCGUAACUAUAACGGUCCUAAGGUAGCGAAAUUCCUUGUCGGGUAAGUUCCGACCCGCACGAAUGGCGUAACGACUUGUGAGCUGUCUCAACAGGAGGCCCGGUGAAAUUGAAGUAUGUGUGAAGAUGCACAUUACCCGCGACUGGACGGAAAGACCCCGUAGAGCUUUACUGUAACCUGACAUUGGAUCUUGAUAACGGAUGCACAGGAUAGGUGGGACGCUGGGAGACGAGGACUUUGGUUUUCGUGGAGCGGCCGUUGGGAUACCACUCUUCUGUUAUUGAGAUUCUAACCUCAAGCCGUGAGCCGGAUGAGAGACAGUGUCAGGCGGACAGUUUGACUGGGGCGGUCGCCUCCGAAAGAGUAACGGAGGCGCCCAAAGGUACCCUCAGAAUGGAUGGAAACCAUUCGAAGAGAGCAAAGUCAGAAGGGUGCUUGACUGCGAGACCAACAAGUCGAGCAGGUACGAAAGUAGGGCUUAGUGAUCCGGCGGUAAGAGAGUGGAAUUGCCGUCGCUCAACGGAUAAAAGCUACCUCGGGGAUAACAGGCUGAUCUCCCCCAAGAGUUCACAUCGACGGGGAGGUUUGGCACCUCGAUGUCGGCUCAUCGCAUCCUGGGGCUGUAUUCGGUCCCAAGGGUUUGGCUGUUCGCCAAUUAAAGCGGCACGCGAGCUGGGUUCAGAACGUCGUGAGACAGUUCGGUCCCUAUCCAUCGUGGGCGAAGGACACAUGAGAGGAGCUGCUCCUAGUACGAGAGGACCGGAGUGGACGCAUCACUGGUGCAACUGUUGUCGUGCCAACGGCACAGCAGGGAAGCGAAAUGCGGACGGGAUAAACGCUGAAGGCAUCUAAGCGUGAAGCCCACCUCAAGAAUAAGUGU
rnacentral:rRNA from 1 species